rnacentral:rRNA from 1 species
GUGAGGAAUAUUGGACAAUGGGCGCAAGCCUGAUCCAGCCAUGCCGCGUGCAGGAAGACGCAUCUAUGGUGUGUAAACUGCUUUUGUACGGGAAGAAACACUCCCUCGUGAGGGAGCUUGACGGUACCGUAAGAAUAAGGAUCGGCUAACUCCGUGCCAGCAGCCGCGGUAAUACGGAGGAUCCAAGCGUUAUCCGGAAUCAUUGGGUUUAAAGGGUCCGUAGGCGGUUUAAUAAGUCAGUGGUGAAAGCGCAUCGCUCAACGAUGGAACGGCCAUUGAUACUGGUAGACUUGAAUUACAAGGAAGUAACUAGAAUAUGUAGUGUAGCGGUGAAAUGCUUAGAUAUUACAUGGAAUACCAAUUGCGAAGGCAGGUUACUACUUGUGGAUUGACGCUGAUGGACGAAAGCGUGGGGAGCGAACAGGAUUAGAAACCCUGGUAGUCC